CCCUUAGAUGUUCUGGGCUGCACGCGCGCUACACUGAUGCGCUCAACGAGUUUAUGACCUUGCCCGGAAGGGUUGGGUAAUCUUUUCAAAACGCAUCGUGAUGGGGAUAGAUUAUUGCAAUUAUUAAUCUUCAACGAGGAAUUCCUAGUAAGCGCGAGUCAUCAGCUCGUGCUGAUUACGUCCCUGCCCUUUGUACACACCGCCCGUCGCCCCUACCGAUUGAGUGAUCCGGUGAAUAAUUCGGACUGCAGCAAUGUUCAGCUCCUGAAUGUUGCAGCGGAAAGUUUAGUGAACCUUAUCACUUAGAGGAAGGAGAAGUCGUAACA
rnacentral:rRNA from 1 species